UCAAAUAUCCAUACGAUUUUACUUUAUCAAAAAAUAAUUUUGCUAUACUAUUAAUAUUCGUGAGAAUAUAUGAAAAUCAAAUUAAGCUCGCAAUGAUUUUUAUUCUCACAGGCGAUCAAAUAAUAGAAUAGAUAAGAUAAAGUUAAGUAUAAAGUUCUAUGUUUCGUUGUCACUUAGGUAUCUUCCUCUGUCAUUCAGUUUUCUUGAGUUCUUUGACUGUUACCACGUUUUCGAGUUGUGAUACUUGGUUACAAAAGGUACCAUCAUGGGUCGUGUACGUACUAAAACCGUGAAAAAAGCUUCCAAAGUGAUUAUUGAGAAGUAUUACACUAGGCUUACACUUGAUUUUCAUACCAACAAGCGCAUAUGCGAGGAAGUAGCAUCUAUACCAACCAAACCUCUGAGGAACAAAAUUGCUGGAUUUGUAACUCAUCUUAUGAAGAGGCUUCGUCAUUCUCAAGUUCGAGGAAUCUCUAUAAAGUUGCAGGAAGAGGAACGUGAGAGGCGUGACAACUUUGUACCUCCAAUUUCUGCUCUUGAAAAUGAUAUCAUUGAAGUAGACCCUGAUACUAAAGAGAUGCUCAGGCAAUUAGAUUUCACAAAUUUACCAGGGUUACAACUUACCCAGCCCAAUACAAAUAAUUAUAACAGAAGAGUGUAAGAAUGUUUAAUUAAACAAGUUGAAAAUUU